UACGGAGGAGGCAAGCGUUAUCCGGAAUUAUUGGGCGUAAAGCGUCCGUAGGUGGUUUAGUAAGUCCGCUGUUAAAGCGCGGGGCUUAACUCCGUAUCGGCAGUGGAAACUACUAGACUAGAGUGUGGUAGGGGUAGAGGGAAUUCCCAGUGUAGCGGUGAAAUGCGUAGAUAUUGGGAAGAACACCGGUGGCGAAGGCGCUCUACUGGGCCAUAACUGACACUGAUGGACGAAAGCUAGGGGAGCGAAAGGG
rnacentral:rRNA from 1 species